UACGUAGGGUGCAAGCGUUGUCCGGAAUUAUUGGGCGUAAAGAGCUCGUAGGCGGUCUGUCGCGUCGGAUGUGAAAAUCCAGGGCUUAACCCUGGGCCUGCAUUCGAUACGGGCAGACUAGAGUUCGGUAGGGGAGACUGGAAUUCCUGGUGUAGCGGUGAAAUGCGCAGAUAUCAGGAGGAACACCGGUGGCGAAGGCGGGUCUCUGGGCAGUAACUGACGCUGAGGAGCGAAAGCGUGGGGAGCGAACAGG
rnacentral:rRNA from 1 species